AGAUUGAACGCUGGCGGCAUGCCUUACACAUGCAAGUCGAACGGCAGCACGGGAGCAAUCCUGGUGGCGAGUGGCGAACGGGUGAGUAAUAUAUCGGAACGUGCCCAGUCGUGGGGGAUAACGCAGCGAAAGCUGUGCUAAUACCGCAUACGAUCUGUGGAUGAAAGCGGGGGAUCGCAAGACCUCGCGCGAUUGGAGCGGCCGAUAUCAGAUUAGCUAGUUGUGGGGUAAAAGCCUACCAAGGCGACGAUCUGUAGCUGGUCUGAGAGGACGACCAGCCACACUGGAACUGAGACACGGUCCAGACUCCUACGGGAGGCAGCAGUGGGGAAUUUUGGAACAAUGGGCGCAAGCCUGAUCCAGCGAAUGCCGCGUGCGAGGAUGGAAGGCCUUCGGUUAGUUAACUAGUACUUUAGUACGUAACGGAAACGGUUACGUACUCUAAUACAGGGACGAAGUAGACGGUAACCGGUAAACGAACGUAAAG
rnacentral:rRNA from 1 species